rnacentral:ncRNA from 1 species
GAUUGAGCCUUAGUAAGGAAACCUACUAAGUGAUGACUUUCAAAUUCAGAGAAACCCCGGAAUUAAGAAAAAGGGCAAUCCUGAGCCAAAUCCUGUUUUCCACAAACAAAGGUUCAGAAAACAAGGAUAGGUGCAGAGACUCGACGGAAGCUGUUCUAACAAAUGGAGGUGGCCUCGUUGGUAGUUGGUAGAGAACUCUUUCCAUCGAAAAUUCAGAAAGGAUGAAAGAUAUACAUACGUAUUGAAUACUAUAUCAAAAUCAAAUGAUUAAUGCCGACCCAAAUGAGUCUAUAUUUUUUCUAUAAAAAACGGAAGAAUUGGUGUGAUUCGAUUCUUUCUUCAAUGUGGAAUCGAAUAUUCAUUGAUCAAAAGAUUCACUCCAUAGUCUGUAGAUCCUUUUUUCAAGAACCGGAUUAAUCGGACGAGAAUAAAGAUAGAGUCCCGUUCUACAUGUCAAUGCCGGCAACAAUGAAAUUUUUAGUAAGAGGAAAAUCCGUCGACUUUAAAAAUCGU